AUCUACAUGUUACGCCAGCACCUCACAUUACUACUGAUGGCGAGUCUAGUUGUACAAUACUGGUCUUGUCUUGAGCGCUGAGCGUAGAUGAUAAUUACCCAUGGCUGGGCGCCUGACUUUGAAGAGUCGUUCCGACUCUUGUGAAAAUUUGGGAAUCAGCAGAGGUUACAUAU
rnacentral:snoRNA from 1 species